UACGUAGGGUGCGAGCGUUAAUCGGAAUUACUGGGCGUAAAGCGUGCGCAGGCGGUGAGCUGUGUCCGAUGUGAAAGCCCCGGGCUUAACCUGGGAAUGGCAUUGGAAACUGGCUCGCUGGAGUGUGGCAGAGGGGGGGUGGAAUUCCGCGUGUAGCAGUGAAAUGCGUAGAGAUGCGGAGGAACACCGAUGGCGAAGGCAGCCCCCUGGGCUAACACUGACGCCUCAGGCACGAAGCGUGGGGAGCAAACAGG
rnacentral:rRNA from 1 species